AGUGAACGCUGGCGGUAGGCCUAACACAUGCAAGUCGAACGGCAGCACAGUAAGAGCUUGCUCUUACGGGUGGCGAGUGGCGGACGGGUGAGGAAUACAUCGGAAUCUACUUUUUCGUGGGGGAUAACGUAGGGAAAAUUACGCUAAUACCGCAUACGACCUACGGGUGAAAGCAGGGGAUCUUCGGACCUUGCGCGAUUGAAUGAGCCGAUGUCGGAUUAGCUAGUUGGCGGGGUAAAGGCCCACCAAGGCGACGAUCCGUAGCUGGUCUGAGAGGAUGAUCAGCCACACUGGAACUGAGACACGGUCCAGACUCCUACGGGAGGCAGCAGUGGGGAAUAUUGGACAAUGGGCGCAAGCCUGAUCCAGCCAUACCGCGUGUGUGAAGAAGGCCUUCGGGUUGUAAAGCACUUUUAUUGGGAAAGAAAAGCAGCAGGUUAAUACCCCGCUGUUCUGACGGUACCCAAAGAAUAAGCACCGGCUAACUUCGUG
rnacentral:rRNA from 1 species